rnacentral:rRNA from 1 species
GAUACAUAGCGACCUGAGAGGGUGAUCGGCCACACUGGGACUGAGACACGGCCCAGACUCCUACGGGAGGCAGCAGUAGGGAAUCUUCGGCAAUGGGGGCAACCCUGACCGAGCAACGCCGCGUGAGUGAAGAAGGUUUUCGGAUCGUAAAGCUCUGUUGUUAGAGAAGAAUGAUGGUGGGAGUGGAAAAUCCACCAAGUGACGGUAACUACCAGAAAGGGACGGCUAACUACGUGCCAGCAGCCGCGGUAAUACGUAGGUCCCGAGCGUUGUCCGGAUUUAUUGGGCGUAAAGCGAGCGCAGGCGGUUUUUUAAGUCUGAAGUUAAAGGCAUUGGCUCAACCAAUGUACGCUUUGAAACUGGAGAACUUGAGUGCAGAAGGGGAGAGUGGAAUUCCAUGUGUAGCGGUGAAAUGCGUAGAUAUAUGGAGGAACACCGGUGGCGAAAGCGGCUCUCUGGUCUGUAACUGACGCUGAGGCUCGAAAGCGUGGGGAGCAAACAGGAUUAGAUACCUGGUAGUCCACGCCGUAAACGAUGAGUGCUAGGUGUUAGGCCCUUUCCGGGGCUUAGUGCCGGAGCUAACGCAUUAAGCACUCCGCCUGGGGAGUACGACCGCAAGGUUGAAACUCAAAGGAAUUGACGGGGCCCGCACAAGCGGUGGAGCAUGUGGUUUAAUUCGAAGCAACGCGAAGAACCUUACCAGGUCUUGACAUCCCGAUGCCCGCUCUAGAGAUAGAGUUUUACUUCGGUACAUCGGUGACAGGUGGUGCAUGGUUGUCGUCAGCUCGUGUCGUGAGAUGUUGGGUUAAGUCCCGCAACGAGCGCACCCCUAUUGUUAGUUGCCAUCAUUAGUUGGGCACUCUAGCGAGACUGCCGGUAAUAAACCGGAGGAAGGUGGGGAUGACGUCAAAUCAUCAUGCCCCUUAUGACCUGGGCUACACACGUGCUACAUGGUUGGUACAACGAGUCGCAAGCCGGU